CUCUAUAGAUAUAUGCAAGUACACGUGUGUGCUGUGUAUAUGUAAAAAAGUGUGUGUAUGUACAUACGUGUGUGCUUCAUCCUUAUUAGUAAUUUUUUAUUACUGGGCACAGACAAAUUGACAGAUCUGACUUCAGUUUAACAACUUGUCUCAGAUAUAGUUUCAGACUUUCUAUUGUUUGUACAUGUUGGUAUUUGACCUGAACUAGGUUGUGGCCACUUGGGAAGUGAUAUGUCUAUUAUUAAAGCAACGGUUUUAAUAAAAAUGUAGGCCAUGCAUCUAAUUUACUGCAAAAAAUGCUAAGGAAUUAUAAUCAUAUUGCAUAUUAACAGUAGUUCAACAAAAAGUAGGUGUUUCUUCAUUGUGUAUUAUAUUUGUAUGGGAGUGGAGUGGAGGAUGAAGUUAUUUUUAUAAAUCUGGUUGUAUUAGAGAAAUAUAGCAAAAAUAAUUAAUUAGGGGAAAAUGAGAAGGAAAGAGCGAAUGUGCUCUGAGUUGAAUGAACCUUUUUAUAUCUGUAAAUUUGCUUUUUUGUAAUUCUUUCUUCCCUCUAUGGAAGAAAUCACCAACCAGACAACAUUUAUAUUGGCAUACAAUAUUAAUGUUGUUUGGUUGGUGGGUUGAUUUCUCCAGUCACUCUUUAUAUUGUAUAGAAAGAAUGGCAGGGUUCAAAAAGAAAAAAAAUGUAGUUAACAUUAACGUAAGAGGUAUGGGAUGGGUACACAUGCUAGGCUUGGUGGCAGGCAAAAAGUUAAACACUACAUAAACACAGUGAGAAAAAAAGAAUCAUAGCAAUAGAGGAUAGGGAGUAAAUGACCGUAGGGGAGGAGUUAUUCAAAUGAGAAAUUUGUUUUAAGGUAGUAAAUAUUCUCUUUUUUUGAAAAUUAAUAUUCAUUUCAUCAUCUUGUAUAAAUACCGAGAUAUUUGAUAAUUUAAAUUAACAAUUAUUAUAUGUAUGCCAUAUUUCCUGAUAUUACCCAUGAUGGCAGAAGUUUAUUUCCAAAGUUACUUAUGUGACUGGUAACACUAGUAUAUAAAUUUAGUGAAUGAUUUUGAAGAAGAAACUUCAGGACACUGGCAUAAGCAUAGCCAAGUGGCUAGAAAGUUCACCUCACUAUCAUGUGGUUUUGGUUUCAACUCCACUAUGUAGCGCCAUAGCAAGUGUACUUUAUUGUAAUCUUGGAUUGACUAAUUACUUUGUGAGUGAAAUCUGGUACAUGGAAGUCUGUGGAAACUUGCCAUUUAUUAUCAGUCCACUGAAGAUUUGGGAGAAUCUCUAAACCAUCAGACAGAAAGCAGUGUAGCAUUUUGCACUAGUACUAUGAGUUGUGCACCCUCCUCUCCCGUUCUUUUUGCACUUUUGUGAACUCCCUGCUCAUGCACCCCAUGCAGUCCUCUAUCAUUCCAUUUAUAUUCACAGCUUUGUACCUUGAGAGUAUAUUUUGGUACAUCACCAUCUCUCUCUCAUUCAGACUGGGAUAACCAUGUUUCUACUGCAAGACUCUUGUUUCUGUCCCUCUAUCAUAGUUAAACCUCUCAUCACCUGGAACAAAACCACCUCUCAAAAUACUUCUUCUCAGUUGAAGGAUCUUUGUCUUGCAAGUUAUGUGAUGUUCCUCACUGGUGGUGGUACCACAUAAAAAAGCACCCAGUCCAUUCUAUAAAGUACUUGGUGUUAGGAAGGACAUCCACCUGUAAAACCAUGCUAAAGCAGACCUCAUCAGUGCUGGUCCCAUAUGCCAAAGCAGACAGUAGAGCUUGGUGCAGUCUUUUGGCUUGCAGCUCCUAUCAAACCAUCCAACUCAUGCCAGCAUGGAAAACAGAUGUUAGAUGAUGAUGAUGAUGACACAAACAGAGAAUCCAUAUAUCUUCUUAGUGUUGCUUUGUACUUUAAGCAGAAAUUGGGAAAUACACCGUAAUGGCUCCAGUGUUGCUGUCAAGAGUAGUGACCCUGGCUAUUAUUAGCCUUGAAGGCAUAUGCUGGAAUAAUGCCAUGCAAAUCGUAUAAUUAACAGAAAAUGUGGUGUGUCUGUCCCAGAUCAACAGAAGAAGCAUUUGUUGAUGUAGCAGAAAUGUAAUAGUAGUAAACAUUUGUAAUUCCAACAACAUCCAGAUGGGGUGUCUUCUGAAUUCUGUUCUCUGUGUGUGUGUGGUUAUAUGGAUAAACAUAACACUUUAUUUUCAUCUCUGAUCUUCCUGGGAAAAUUGUUUAGAAUUAAGAUUAUCCCUGUCUUUUCAUUAUCUGACAAAACUCAGAUGUUUUCUACUAUUAAAUAACAACAGAAAUUAACAUAAAAUAUUGCAAUAUCUUCGUUAGUCUUCAAGUUACUAGCAAUUGCAUCAAAAUUUUAAUAUUUCCUCUACUUUCAGUUUCAUUGAUUUUUGUCUUUUGCUUCUAGCUUCUGUUUGUGGAUCAAUAUUUAAUCAUUUCUUAAAUUUUUUUAUUCCUUCUUGUAAAUGUUUUAUUGGAUUUGCAGAUUUUCCUUGCAUCAGUUACAAGAAUCCUGUCCAUAAUAGCAGAGUGGGGGUUCUUGCAUAGGUAGAUAAAGGGAUCAGUUUAGAUAAUGUUAACUUUGAAGAUUGUGAGAGGUGAUACAUUGUAGGAACAGCAUUUCUAAGGAAGGAUUGGUAAA
rnacentral:lncRNA from 1 species